rnacentral:lncRNA from 1 species
AAGGAGUACCUUAAUAAGUUUAUUUUUUAUCAUAUUUCAUGCCAAUGUAUUUGAAAGUCUUUUUUUUUUAAAUGGACAUGUUAGGCGGUGGUUGGAAGAUAUUUUUCAUCUAGUCCAUGUCCUUCCUCAUCGACUAAACUAAAUUAAAAGCCUAAUUUAGACUGCAUAAUCAUCACAUCCGGACGCAAAAGAAAUUAUGUGUGCAACAUUGCUCCAAUAUUCCCCCCUGACCCAUCA